rnacentral:rRNA from 1 species
UACGUAGGGGGCAAGCGUUGUCCGGAUUUAUUGGGCGUAAAGAGCGUGUAGGCGGCCAGACAGGUCAGCUGUGAAAACUCGAGGCUCAACCUCGAGACGUCGGUUGAAACCGUCUGGCUAGAGUCCGGAAGAGGAGAGUGGAAUUCCCGGUGUAGCGGUGAGAUGCGCAGAUAUCGGGAAGAACACCCGUGGCGAAGGCGGCUCUCUGGGACGGUACUGACGCUGAGACGCGAAAGCGUGGGGAGCAAACAGG